rnacentral:rRNA from 1 species
UACGCAGGGGGCUAGCGUUGCUCGGAAUCACUGGGCGUAAAGGGUGCGUAGGCGGGUCUUUAAGUCAGGUGUGAAAUCCUGGAGCUCAACUCCAGAACUGCCUUUGAUACUGAGGAUCUUGAGUUCGGGAGAGGUGAGUGGAACUGCGAGUGUAGAGGUGAAAUUCGUAGAUAUUCGCAAGAACACCAGUGGCGAAGGCGGCUCACUGGCCCGAUACUGACGCUGAGGCACGAAAGCGUGGGGAGCAAACAGG